CGAAAUAAAAGUUUGUUUUUCACAAAAACCGAUAAUGGAAGACUUUAAAAAUAACAAGUUUAUUUUUAGUUCGUAACAAAACCGAACCAUCAUGGAUCCAUUUGUACAGGUUAGAAUGAAAUAAAGCCAACCAUAGGCUGUUUUAGAGAUAACCUUUGAAGCCUUUGAACCCACUUGGUUUUGGGGUGGUGAUGAAGAUAACAAAAGAUCAAAGUGUAUGAUCUUCUCUACAAGUACUCACCAUCAAGAGUAAGGCACUUGGAAUGCUAGUUCCUUCUUGUAUUCUUGAGUGUCUAAAGCCUUUAAGUGCUUAACUCAAUUAAGCACUAAAGGGAACAACUCAAGAGGUCUUCUAAACCACCAAACUAACUUCAAAAGAAAGAGACGGAGAGGAGUAGAAAACCCAUGGUUUUAGAGAGAAAGAAAGGAAGAAGACGAUCUUCACACUUCCUAAAAUGCAAGCCUCAUGCAUCUCUUGUAUAGCCCAUGAAAAGUAACGCCUAACCAUUAAAAUAAUAUAAAUUAAUGGUAGCCUUUGGAAGCAUGGGAUACAAAAGGUGGAAGGUUGAAAAAGCAACCUCCUACACCAUCAUUAUGCCUUUUAAAAAAGUAAGAUUCUUUAUUUUUUAUAAACUCCAAGUUUAUGAAAUAUAAACUUUGUCUUUAGGUAAAAGACAAAAGAAUCCACUAGUCCAAAAUGUUGUGCAUGACUUAUUAAUUCAUACCAUAUGAAAUAAUAACAAGUAAGAAUCUUAUAAUUAUUAUAUUCCCAAAACAAUAAUUAUUACCUAAUUAAAAUACAAGAAUCGAUAUUAUUUAUUAAUAAUCAUAUUAAUAAUAAAUAUACAAAAUGUGCCAACUUGAUAAAGGUGUGACCCUAUAGGAUCAUAUAUUAUUAGCAAUAUCACUCCAUAAUGAUUCUUGGGAAUAUAUAUUCAACAAUCUCCUACUUGCACAAGAUUCAUUAUUGACUGGCAUAGAAAGUUGCUGACGUCUAGCAACAAGCUACUGCCCCUAACAACAUAUGAAGGGUGGUAUAUCAUCAACAACUAAUUCUAGGAGUUCUAAGCUGCAAUUAUUACUAAAGGUGUGGUAUCAAUUAUUCCUUUGUCUCAGAAAUCAUGUCGAACAUGAGAUAUGGAUCGCUAUCAAUCUUAUUGAGUGUUCAACUUUAACUAAGGCCUUAGAUGUCAUGCUCUCAACGAAUUAGAGAGACAAAUCCCAUCUUGACUACAUACGCACAUCAAUGUAGUUCAUGUCAUACCCAACGAUGGCCCUUAUGACUGCCUUUUACGAAAUAACGUUAAACCAUGUCAAAUCACGAAAAUUCCUACACCUCAAGUCCCAAAUAUGUAUCUCCGGUCUAAGAAUACAAAGAUCGUCUUGACUACAUACACCUAUCAAUGCAGUUCAUGUCAUACCCAACGAUGGCCCUUAUGACUGCUUUUUACGAAACUACGUUAAACCAUGUAUAAGCACAAUAAUACCUAUACUUCAAGUCCCAAAUAUGUAUCUCAGGUAUAAGAUUAAAAAGAUAAAACCUUGAUCAAAACGUCACUCUUGACUACGAUCCAUAAAGUGGUUUUGAUACGAGUCAAGUCCAAUACUUAUUCUCCUAAUCAAGUACCUAUGAAGUUGGUAGCAGCUCUUUGCCAUUCUAAUCUCCAUGAGAAUCCACCAAUCUACUCAUAUUACUCUUACCUCAUAGAUGCUCCCACAACUAUGAAUGAUUAUGAACAUUUUGAAUAACCUAGUUAUUCAAAGAUUUAAACAUGCUAAUAUUGAACAUAACAAUUAUUUAAUGAAAUACUCAUAUCCAAUAUAUCGUUCAUUACUAUAUAUGUUGUUUUAUUGUUCCAAUAUACAAAUACUAAAUUUCAAUCAAAUGCAUCUACUUGUAUCAACAAUGCCCUGUAGCACCAACUUGACUUUCAUGCUUUAGCUAAUGAAGCAACUUUGUUAAGUAUAUUUGACAAACUUGAUUUGUAUAAACUUUGCGAAUACAAUCAUUUUCAGUUUUAUAUAUAUAUAUAUAUNNNNNNNNNNNNNNNNAUAUAUAUAUAUAUAUAUAUAAUUCAUAUAUAAAGAAAAACUAUUGAGAAUGAAUUAAAUGCUUGAAUAUGACUUAGAUACCAAUACUUGCAUAAUGGCAUUGCUCAUAGUUAUAAUGAUCUAUACAUUAAGCAUCUUUGUACGUGGUUCUCUAAACCACGAGGCACUCUAACUAUGAUGUGUAACUGUAAUUAAUAUCUAUAUGAAACCACUAUCCAUGUAACCAUCUCUUCAUUCAUAAUGAGGACACGCCCGAUUGUGAUUACGUGUCACCUCAACCUAUUUGAAAAUUUAGCACAUGUGUAACAACUUUAAACAUGGCUUUCUUUCAAAUACUCCACAGAUUAGGGAUAUUUCUAUACUUUUCGUAAGUACUUUAGAAUGUUCCUAUAAGUCACACAAUGACUUGUUGAUGGAUUAUAUUGGUAUCAUUCGACAUGCUCUAAGCAUAGGACUUAUUUGGCCUUUAUGCAUAAUACAAUCAUAUUAUCUAGUUCAAAAACAUUUUCACUAGGAUUUUGCUAAAAAUCAUGUCAUGUGGUAUUUGACAAGAUGACUCUCUCAGAAUCCUUUAUCUUACGCUCCUUUAAGAUCCUUGACAAUAUAACAUUAGGAAUGUUACUGGGCUCCUACUAGCUUUGUAGAAAACACAAGAGUCAUCUAGAUUCAUUAUCAAAUCACACUAUGUAAUUAUCUUAUAAGAAUGAAUAUUCUUACUUUGAAAUGUUAGCUUAAAUAUGAAAAGACUUUCAAUCAUGUAUGUUUUCUCCUUUGAGAAUCACUUAUUCUUUAUAGUCAAACUAUAUCGAGGAAAAUUAAUCAAGCCCAAACUUGAUAAUCAUACAUGAAUGCAUCUCUAUGUGUUUUAUUAGUUUCUGAUCAACCAUUGAGCAGAUUCAACAACAACUGAAAUUUGCUAGUUCCAAACUAUGAUGCAUUUAGUUUAUGGUUCUUAAGCUCUUAAAGUUCCAUAUAGCUCCCACUAAGAAAAAGAACUUUCUAAUCACUUGUCUUAUGGAAUGACAAUUAGUGGCAUUAGUAGACACUUCAUCCUACACAAUCAUUUAGGAUAUUCUACAUAAAUGCAAUUAGUAGAUACCAUCAUGUUUAAGCUUAUUGUUUAACAUAAGCUCUAUAACUCUAUUCCUUUUAGAUAAGGAUAAAUCAUUUCAUCCUUAGUCUAAUAUAAGUAUCUAAUCCACUUGUUUGGUUGGAUCUUCUUGAUCAUAUAGAUAAGUAAAUCUAAUCCAAUUUAAUGAAAGAUUAUAGAUUUACAUCAUAAUUAACAUUAUGAGAAAAUAUUCAUUAACACAGAAUACAUCAUUUCAGAACAUGAAUGCGAACAUCCACAAAACGAUAAGUAAAUCUAGAUUUAUUCAUAAAUUACAACUGUUACAUUUCCCUAUAAGGAUAGUUACAAUACAUCUAUUGUUUAAAUAAAAGACUAUAACAACACUUGUUAUAUCUUCAACACAAAAUACCAUUCGUUUGUAAUCGGUUGAUUAUUUUUUCCAAUCAUCAACACAUAAUAUAAAUUAUUUGUGUAACAUGAAGUAUUACAUACUCAAGUGAAUGAUGGAAAAAUUAAUAGUUCUAUCAUAUAGACAUCUGAAGUCUUGUCCAAGUCAGACUUCUUCAACUUGAUGAGAUGAGAGGAGCAAUUCCUCCUAUAGUGUCCAAUUUCUUCCACAAUAGAAACAACACUAAUCAUUUGGUCCUUUCUUGAUUUAUGAGUUUAUGUUGUAUUUCCCUUAACUGAACUAUAAGUCUAUAUGAGUGCACAAUCUCUUAGACUUCCUUUUAUUCAAUGCUUGAACAGACUUGAAGAUAUUUCUAGUGUUCUUAUUAAAUAUCUACUUUACUUGAUGAGACAUCUGAUAUGUUUCAUAACCAUCCAAGACUAUCAGCAAGUCAUGGUUAAUCACCCCAGUACGAUGUGAGACACAUCAACAUCAUCACAAUAAUACUUCCAUCAAAGUAUCAUGAUCAGACUAACUGGUUGCAGAGGUUACUCAGGUAUGGGAUCUUUCAGUAUAUAUAAUUUCUAUUUGUCAUAAAGGCAGAACCUCAAGAUAUUAUACGAGUUAUAUAAAUUAUAACCAUCAAAUGUUAUUGUCUCUUAAAACUCAAUAAGAGAGAGGUUUUGCAGGGCGUAAAAUUAUUAAUAAUUAUCAAUAGAAUUUGACAAAGUUUCAUUUAGUAUUUUCAAUAUUUAGUCUUUAAAAAUUAAUACGUUAUAUUGUUUCUUAAAACAUUAAUUUAUUAAAGUCUAGGAUCCAAGUAACGAAACAAGUAAAUGGUUAGGCGACCUUUAUCCCAUAAACUUAAUCGAACUCGGUAGAUAGCGAUUACCAAUUGCAUAUGAUAUGUAACUCCUAUAUUAUGGGGUCCUAAACAACUAUUGUUUAGCUUGACAUGUUUAUCCCAUCUAUGCCUCAAAACUCUUAUGCUUAGUCAACCCUUAUCACAUAAGAAAUUUAUCAAAUCAUCCAUUUAAAAAACUUGUGAGUUCUAUUUCACAAAUGGUUAGGUGACCUUUAUGCCAUAAGCAAAUACAAAAACACCUUGACUAUUUUUGACAACUCAAAUGAAUAAGGUGACCCAAAAAUCCAUAUGAACUUCACACAAUUCCCAAGUGAAUUUUAAAUGGAUUGCAUAGAUUUGAAGUUUUGUAAAUAAGGAUUUAUAUAUGUUUUACAAUUAUAGUUUAUAAAAACAUGGUCUCAUGAAUGUUGCAUGCAUCCAACAAUUCAUGUACCAUUUUGUAAAAUCCAUAUCACUUGUUAUGAGGUUCUUUAGGUGCCAAAUAAAAUUUCAUUCUAUUUGCCAUUAACCGCGAUCAAUUAUAAACUAAAAUAUGGUAUUUUAAAGUUUAGUCGUACAUCAGUUUUAUGAACCGGUAACAGCCUUAAUAAAACUUUAUUGUAUGCUUAAGACAUGGAGUUUUGGAUGAGUUAUAAAAUCACUAUUUUAAAUCUCCUUUUAGUAAUCAAAAACUUAUGACUUCAUGAAUUUAUAGAAUGAACUCAUUAUAUUUUAUAAACUCCAUUUCAGGUAUCUUAUGAUAAAAGUCAUAUUUUGAUAAACCAAAACUUGGGUGAUGAUACUUAUGUUUUAAAUCUCAUUUAGCAUGCAUAAAAACAUAAUAUCAACAUGUUGCGUUAUGUUUAAAACACCAAUAUCAUAUAUUAAGUUUCGAUGAAAAAAAUAAUCACUAGUUUUAUUAUUUACCGUUAUAACGCUAAAAACCGAUUUUAGUCUUUUUAAUAAAAACUCCUUAUUUACUAUAAAGACAUGGAGUUUAUAUAAAGUUUAAACAUCUUUUAAACCAUUUCAAAUAUUUUAAAGUUGGGUAUUUAUAAGUUUUACAAUAAAAUUAUUUUCAACAAAAAUUUAGUUUUAACUGGUAAACAGGUAACCGGUAAAAUAUUUUUAUAAAAAUUCAUUUAUAAACAUCUUAUGUUAUCUUUUAAAUAUUUUUUACUCAAACUCCAAGUUAUAUUAUCUUAUGGAAAAAAAAUGUUAUUUGACAUGUAAAAACCAUUUUCAUACAUAAAACAUAACAUGCAUUUAACAUAAAAUAAACAUGACAAGCAUGCAUUAUAAUGUGUAUAAACCAAGUCAUCUCUAGUAAUAAUUUUUCUGAGCCAUCAGAAGAAUUAUUUGGUCUUUCCUAAAGGACUUAAUGGACACUUCAAAAGGUCUUCAAGGUGGUAAUUUCUUCAUCUUGUUAUAUUUAAAUUAAAUACAACUAGUCUAACUAAUUUGUUACAUCAAAUCAACAAAUGAAAAAUACCUAUUUAUCUAUUACAUCUUAUGAAUAAAUAAAUAUCAACCAUACACAACACAAAUGUCCAAAUGGCUUGUCUAUACAUAACAUAUCAAAUAUUAUAACAAGCAACUCUUUGUUUUUUUCUAAGGCAACUUUUAUAUAACCAAAAUGCAUGAAAAAAAAGGUUAUAUAUAAAAAUAAACAAUUUUAACCAAGAAGUUGCCAAAGAAGACAAAUAUGGAUUUUUCUUAACCAAAAGAAAUCCAUGUUUGUUUUCCAAAAACCAAAGAUUAUCAAACAUAAAAAAAUAUUCUAACAUAAAAGAUGGCUCUGAUACCAUUGUUGGGUUUUGAUACGAAAUAAAAGUUUGUUUUUCACAAACACCGGCAAUCGAAGACUUUAAAAUAACAAGUUUAUUUUUAGUUCAUAACAAAACCGAACUAUUAUGGAUCCAUUUAUAGAGGGUAGAAUGAAAUAAAACCAACCAUAGGAUGUUUUAGAGAUAACCUUUGAAGCCUUUGAACCCACUUGGUUUUGGGGUGUUGAUGAAGAUAACAAAAGCUCAAAGUGUAUGAUCUUCUCUACAAGUAUCCACACUUAAGAGUAAGAUACUUGGAAUGCUAGUUCCUUCUUGUAUUCUUGAGUGUCUAAAGCCUUUGAGCGCUUAACUCAAUUAAGCACUAAAGGGAACAACUCAAUAGGUCUUCUAAACCUCCAAACUAACUUCAAAAGAGAGAGAGAGGGAGAGGAAUAGAAAACCCAUGGUUUUAGAGAGAAAGAAAGGAAGAAGAAGAGCUUCACUCUUGCAAAAAUGCAAGCCUCAUGCAUCACUUAUAUAGCCCAUGAAAAGUAAGUUCUAACCAUUAAAAUAAUCUAAAGUAAUGGUAGCCUUUAGAAGCAUGGGAGACAAAAGGUGGAAGGUUGAAAAAGCAAACUCCUACAUCAUCAUUAUGCCUUUUUAAAAAAUUAAGAUUCUGUAUUUUUUAUAAACUCCAAGUUUAUAAAUGUAAACUUGUAUUUAGGUAAAAGAAAAAAGAAUCCAACUAGUCCAAAAUGUUGUGCAUGACUUAUUAAUUCAUACCAUAUGAAAUAAUAACUAGUAAUACUCUCUUAUAAUUAUUAUUUUCACAAAACAAUAAUUAUUCCCUAAUUAAAAUACAAGAAUUGAUAUUAUUUAUUAAUAAUCAUACUAAUAACAAAAAUACAAAAUGUGCCAACUUGAUAAAGGUGUGACCCUAUAGGAUCAUAUAUUAUUAGUAAUAUCACUCCAUAUUGCUUCUUGGGCAUAUAGAUCCAACAGGUUACUAUGUCUAAUCGACUCUAGAAUGUACAUUGG
rnacentral:lncRNA from 1 species